ACUGGGCGAGCUCAUGAAUAAUAAUGAGCUCACUCAACAUGACAUCAGACUGACCAGCUUUUGUAAUUGGUUUGAUUUCUCCUCGUAUUUCUUUCCAGUGGCUAGAGCUGACAGAGGAGGUAGCAGUUCAUUUUCACAUUUACAACAUAAUACAAACACAUAUUUCUAAAAAUGCAAGUAAAAAUGGUUAUGUAUGGCAGGGCACCU